GGGUGUACCAUGCUCCCGGUUUCGUCAAGGAUCUGUACAAUCCUACAGAAGACACUUCCAGAGAAAGUAACAGUCAUUUAUGCUGGGACAUCCUGCCUUUGGACUUGGACUUGGACUUGGACUUGGACUGGAAUUUAAAUGUUGGCUUUAACGGUUUUCAGAUCUUCAGACUUAGACUGGAACUGUACCAUCAGCUCUCCUGGGUCUUCAGUUUGCCAACAGCAGAUCUUCAGACUUCUCAGCCUUUGUAAUUGUGUGAGCCAAUUCCUUGUAAUAAAUAUCUCUUCAUCUUCAUCUUCAUAUCGCGCACGCAUGUGCGCUCGCGCGC